rnacentral:rRNA from 1 species
UCAGAAGCCAACCAACUGUGCGUGUGCAGCUCACUGCGAGGUGGACGUCGCGUGCGUUGAGACACUUACUUCUGGUGACUCUGGAUAAUUGUUACAGAUCGCAGUCGGCGUUGAGUCGGCGACGGGUCCUUCAAAUGUCUGCCCUAUCAACUUUCGAUGGUAGGUGACCUGCCUACCAUGGUGGUAACGGGUAACGGGGAAUCAGGGUUCGAUUCCGGAGAGGGAGCCUGAGAAACGGCUACCACUUCCAAGGGAGGCAGCAGGCGCGCAAAUUACCCACUCCCAGCACGGGGAGGUGGUGA